rnacentral:rRNA from 1 species
UUGGAGGGCAAGUCUGGUGCCAGCAGCCGCGGUAAUUCCAGCUCCAAUAGCGUAUAUUAAAGUUGCUGCAGUUAAAAAACUCGUAGUUGAAUUUCGGGACCAUCAUGUCGGUCGUGCCUCGGUACGUACUGGCAUUGUUGGUUUCUCCCUUCUGACGAACCAUGAUGUCAUUUAUUUGGUGUUGUGGGAAAUCAGGACUGUUACUUUGAAAAAAUUAGAGUGUUUAAAGCAGGCUCACGCUUGAAUACAUUAGCAUGGAAUAAUGAAAUAGGACGUUUGAUUCUAUUUUGUUGGUUUCUAGGAUCGACGUAAUGAUUAAUAGGGAUAGUUGGGGGCAUUAGUAUUCAAUUGCCAGAGGUGAAAUUCUUGGAUUUAUUUAAGACUAACUACUGCGAAAGCAUUUGCCAAGGAUGUUUUCAUUAAUCAAGAACGAAAGUUAGGGGAUCGAAGACGAUCAGAUACCGUCGUAGUCUUAACCAUAAACUAUGCCGACUAGGGAUCGGAUGAUGUUAAUUUUUUAAUGACUCAUUCGGCGCCUUACGGGAAACCAAAGUGUUUGGGUUC